CCUACGGGAGGCAGCAGUAGGGAAUCUUCCACAAUGGGCGAAAGCCUGAUGGAGCAACGCCGCGUGGGUGAAGAAGGUCUUCGGAUCGUAAAACCCUGUUGUUAGAGAAGAAAGUGCGUGAGAGUAACUGUUCACGUUUCGACGGUAUCUAACCAGAAAGCCACGGCUAAUUCCGUGCCAGCAGCCGCGGUAAUACGGAAGGUCCGGGCGUUAUCCGGAUUUAUUGGGUUUAAAGGGAGCGUAGGCCGGCUUUUAAGUCAGCUGUGAAAGUCCGCGGCUCAACCGUGGAAUUGCAGUUGAAACUG
rnacentral:rRNA from 1 species